rnacentral:misc_RNA from 1 species
UCUUUUUGUGCAUAAUGUAUAUAUAGGGGGGUGGUAGUACUCUUGGGGUAGACAGGCAUGUGCUGGGAUGGCAUGCCAAGGCAUGUGCUGGGAUGGCAUGCCAAGGCAUGUGCUGGGAUGGCAUGCCAGGGACAAGCAUGUGCUUGGAAGGCAUGCCAAGGCCAAGACAAGGCCAAGGCAAGCACAUGCAUGGUGAGUGAGAUGAGACGGUUAUAACCCCAAGAGUGCCCAAACGAGAGGUGUCAAACGCAUGCUGAGCCCCACUUCGGUAGUUUGGCACGACCCCAUAGGCAUUCAGGCAAGCGUGUCUAUGGGUAACGUCAUUUCAGCUUGCCAACCAUGUUGGGUAUUAUUCUACGGAUGAGAUGAUGGCACAAGGUUGCUUGCUGGUAACGUUUUGGCACCAUACCGCAUUGCUAGUUUAAGCUUAAGUGGGUGGAAUCUGCCUAUAGGGGCGUUGCUUGCUUGUUGUGGAGUUGGGACACGCCCAAUAUCUAUCAUCGACCUAGGUAAUUCCUGCAUGGCCCCAUAGGCAUAUUCAGGCAAGCGUGCCUAUGGGUAAAGUCCCUGGAGCUUGCCAACAACCAUGUUAGCUGUAGUCUGGAUCGAUGAUGGCACAAGGAUGCUUGCUUUAAGGUAACAUUCUGGCAGCACAGCCAGCCCGCAAUUGCUAGUUCAAGCGGGUGGAAUCUGCCUAUAGGGGUGUUGCUUGCUUGCUGUGGAUUUGGGACACGCCCAAUAUCUAUCAUCGACCCAACGAAGUGCUCAACAUGGGUUGCUGAGGGCUAUUUUGGCACAGAUGCUUCACUCGUUUGCUUGGCUUUGAUAAAUGUUUAGAUGUCAUGAUGGUUGGGAUCCAAUAAAUUUAUGUGGGAAGCUGAGAGCUGGAACCCAAAUGUCAUUCACCAGACGGCUUAGCUUCGUCAGUGUGUAUAAUAUGUCAUUGCACCCCAAUCCUCGAUGCCGACCUGAUUAUGACUUUUGGAUCGCAAUUAUCAUGGCUAUCAAAAACUGAGUAGGAGUCAUGGAAUAAGUGAACAAUUUGUAGCCUUUAUAGCUGUCAGCUUUCGCAUCGCCCGGUGUGUUUUGGGAAUCGCUUUGUGCAUUUGGUUGCCUGCCGUGCCUCUUGGCAUACGGUUGGUGCCACUUGCUGGGUGGUUUUCGGAAACAUCCACCGUAAAGGUGCAUGAGUGGUGUUUGGUUUGUUAUGGGUGGUUGGCUCUUUGCUUGCGCAACAACUGCCACCCGACUUACCUCUUCAGUUGUUUGCCUAGGCUUGUAUAGCCUAAGCAGAUUGUGGGUUUCCUGUGUUGCCUACCUACGUCAUGGAAUUGUCUCGAUCGAUCAAAGUUGCUUUCGUCUUGUGUCGUCUUGAUGGCAUAAGAUGAACCAUGAAGCUGUCUCUUUGCACCGCAUCGUUAAUGCAUGCAUUGAUGUUGUGGCCCAUUGAGCAUUGCUUGGUACCUUGGAUACGGAACCUUAUGUGGGCAUGGGUCCUUAGGGAUCCUUGUUCUGCCCUCGUUUAGCGUUCGCGCUUCUCUUAGAAUGACUGCCCAGCCGAAUGGGAAGCCAUUCCGGAUGGGCAUCGUCAAAGAGGAAUGC